rnacentral:rRNA from 1 species
GUCGAGCGAAUCGAUGGGAGCUUGCUCCCUGAGAUUAGCGGCGGACGGGUGAGUAACACGUGGGCAACCUGCCUAUAAGACUGGGAUAACUUCGGGAAACCGGAGCUAAUACCGGAUACGUUCUUUUCUCGCAUGAGAGAAGAUGGAAAGACGGUUUACGCUGUCACUUAUAGAUGGGCCCGCGGCGCAUUAGCUAGUUGGUGAGGUAAUGGCUCACCAAGGCGACGAUGCGUAGCCGACCUGAGAGGGUGAUCGGCCACACUGGGACUGAGACACGGCCCAGACUCCUACGGGAGGCAGCAGUAGGGAAUCUUCCGCAAUGGACGAAAGUCUGACGGAGCAACGCCGCGUGAACGAAGAAGGCCUUCGGGUCGUAAAGUUCUGUUGUUAGGGAAGAACAAGUACCAGAGUAACUGCUGGUACCUUGACGGUACCUAACCAGAAAGCCACGGCUAACUACGUGCCAGCAGCCGCGGUAAUACGUAGGUGGCAAGCGUUGUCCGGAAUUAUUGGGCGUAAAGCGCGCGCAGGUGGUUCCUUAAGUCUGAUGUGAAAGCCCACGGCUCAACCGUGGAGGGUCAUUGGAAACUGGGGAACUUGAGUGCAGAAGAGGAAAGUGGAAUUCCAAGUGUAGCGGUGAAAUGCGUAGAGAUUUGGAGGAACACCAGUGGCGAAGGCGACUUUCUGGUCUGUAACUGACACUGAGGCGCGAAAGCGUGGGGGAGCAAACAGGAUUAGAUACCCUGGUAGUCCACGCCGUAAACGAUGAGUGCUAAGUGUUAGAGGGUUUCCGCCCUUUAGUGCUGCAGCUAACGCAUUAAGCACUCCGCCUGGGGAGUACGGCCGCAAGGCUGAAACUCAAAGGAAUUGACGGGGGCCC